GGCAGGUUACUCUUAGUUCUCAGGGGCGUGUGGAUCCAGCUCUUGUGAUGAGUGGGUGGACCCAGACAGCAUAAUGACAGGCUUCAUAGCAGUUCCUCAUUAUGAAGACACAAUGGGAAGCAGCGUCUGCCUGGACCAAUAGCACUAAGCAUAAAUAAUGCAAGGUCAAAGAAACCCAGGCCAGGAAGCCCCAUCCUACCCCUUUACCAUCUGCCAUGCCACAGGAGCUGCCAGGAUCUCCCCCCCACAGAGCCUGCAAGCAGCAGCCUUGCUGAAACCCCCACUCAGCCCACAUGAGCACCUAGCGCCCAGUGUCAGGGAGAAGCAGCCUGUCAAAGCAGAUCUAUGUUCAAUAGCGGCAAGUACUGGAAAGCAGGAUAAUGCAUGUAUCUCUAUACUGUAUACUGUAUGUACCCCCUGUUUGUGGGCAUGUUAACAAAUAAAUACA